AUUUUCUUCGCAGGAUCCCGGGCGCUCCUUACGCUGGGUCUAGCUGACGCACGUGCGCUCGCCUGCACGCCCUGGUGGAAGCGGCCACGGGAGCGAGCACGUUCAGUCGCCCGGGAUCUGUCUCCCCAAUGCCCGCCCUCUUCGCGCCGGCCGGUGCACGUGUUCACUAGGAUCGCGACCUGGAUCUGCGCUGAAUUACUCCCGUGAUUUCCUCACUACAGAUCUUCUCACCCCGCACCUCUGCUCAUUAAAGAGGCCUGUGUCUCAGUUAACCAUACACA
rnacentral:lncRNA from 1 species